CUGGAACAAACGCCCUCACGGGUGCUACCCAGAAACCCUUUGUGAAUUAUUCUCCAUUGUUGCCUCGGCAUUGACUGGCUUUCUUUGUGAAGUCCCUUUUUUCGGAAAGGAGCAGGUCGGCCGGUGGCCCUAUAAACUCUUAUUUUUACACUGUAUCUUCUGAGUAAAAAAAAUAUAAAUGAAUCA
rnacentral:misc_RNA from 1 species